rnacentral:lncRNA from 1 species
CUCUAAGAAGGCUCUCGACACAGGUCAAGAAGACAGCGACGUCUCCGAAGUAAUGCGGAGUUCUGACCACCAAGCUCGAGCCUGCGGCCGUGAACGAUGAGGAAAGCAAACCAGUGCAUCGACGACUAGGCACCCCCCAACGACGUCAACGUCGGACAAGUCGAACGACAAGAGAAGUUCGGCGGACGAUAAUUUAAUACAAUAUGCGGGCGAGGUAACACAAAAUCUCCUUUUCAUUUCAUUUGCGAAAUAUACACCACAAAGCCCAGAAGGCCAAAGGAAGAAAAGCAAAACGACAAAAGUGGGACAAAACAACAAAAGGGAAAAUGUAUACAUGAAAAGACAGAAGG